AUUUAUAUAAUAUAUAUAGUAUAUUUGACUUCCAAUCAAAAAGUUUAAUUGUUAUUAAUAUAAAUA
rnacentral:tRNA from 1 species